GGGUCACCUCCCACCCGUGUCUAUCGUACCUUGUUGCUUCGGCGGGCCCGCCGUUUCGACGGCCGCCGGGGAGGCCUUGCGCCCCCGGGCCCGCGCCCGCCGAAGACCCCAACAUGAACGCUGUUCUGAAAGUAUGCAGUCUGAGUUGAUUAUCGUAAUCAGAAACUUUCAACAACGGAUCUCUUGGUUCCGGCAUCGAUGAAGAACGCAGCGAAAUGCGAUAAGUAAUGUGAAUUGCAGAAUUCAGUGAAUCAUCGAGUCUUUGAACGCACAUUGCGCCCCCUGGUAUUCCGGGGGGCAUGCCUGUCCGAGCGUCAUUGCUGCCCUCAAGCACGGCUUGUGUGUUGGGCCCCCGUCCCCCUCUCCCGCCGACGGGCCCGAAAGGCAGCGGCGGCACCGCGUCCGGUCCUCGAGCGUAUGGGGCUUUGUCACCUGCUCUGUAGGCCCGGCCGGCGCCAGCCGACACCCAACUUUAUUUUUCUAAGGUUGACCUCGGAUCAGGUAGGGAUACCCGCUGAACUUAAGCA
rnacentral:rRNA from 1 species